CAGUGAAAUUUUAACGGCCGCGGUAUCCUAACCGUGCAAAGGUAGCGUAAUCACUUGUCUUAUAAAUGAAGACCAGUAUGAAUGGCUAAAUGAGUAUUUAACUGUCUCCUUUGACUAAUCAGUGAAACUGAUCUUCCAGUACAAAAGCUGAAAUAAUACAACAAGACGAGAAGACCCCGUGGAGCUUUAAAUUUUUAACAAAGCAUUUUAACAGCUACUAUGACAAAAAAUUUUUAGUUGGGGCAACUUUGGAGUACAGCUAAACCUCCAAUAAAAGGCACCGCCUAAGCCCAGGCUUACAGGCCAAACUACAUAGACCCAGUAUAAAUACUGAUCAAAGAACCAAGUUACCCCGGGGAUAACAGCGCCAUCUUCUUCAAGAGUUCAUAUCGACAAGAAGGUUUACGACCUCGAUGUUGGAUCAGGACACCCAAAUGGUGUAGCCGCUAUUAAAGGUUCGUUUGUUCAACGAUUAACAGUCCUACGUGAU
rnacentral:rRNA from 1 species